ACCUUUAUUAUUCAUUUAUUUAUUUUUAAAAUGUGGUGCUGAGCAUCGAACCCAGCGCCUCACACAUGCUAGGCGAGUGCUCUACCACCGAGUCACAACUCCAGCCCACACUCUUGUUUCUUGAACUCACUAAGCUUUUCCCUACUUCAGAAUCUUCUAGGUAAGAGUACACUGAUCACAUUCCUUCCCACUGAAUUAUCUCCUCAUUUGUUGCCCCUUUCCAGUAGACACAAUGAACGACAUGAAGAAAUGGAAUACCCUCGGCUUCAUCUUUAACCUGAAAUGCCUGACAUUUUCCUGCCUUUUCAGCAACAACCAAUCGUGGUUCACCACUGUGAUGUCAGCCUGAACAAAACUGAAAGAGAAAGACAUGGAGCAGAUGACAAUGCAAAUAGCAGUGACUCUCAGACCAGUUGUUCUGCACCUUCUCGCUGAGAUCCACUGGGGUCAGCCAGCUCUCCUCUUUCAGGGAUUUUCAGAGUGCAUGAAGCACAUGGUUGCUCACAAGUAUUUUUCUCCGUGUGACAGGGAGUGGCAGUGCUUGCUCUCCCACACUCUUGAAGGCCAGUGGUGCUCCACAGGAAGUGCAGGAUGACUGUUGACCUAGUUAAACCAGCCUCCCAAGAACACCAAGUGAAACCCGGUGCACACACGACCUCCUCUGUAUUUCGUUCUUAGUAAUUUUAUCAGACGAUAGAAUGAAAGCAUAGAAAGGAUAUUUAUCAAAAGUGCAAAUGAUCUCAAGUCAGAGCUUUUGGUACAGUCUACUGAUUUUUUUUUUUUUUUUUAAGAUCAAGAAUGGCAGAUCUAGAGCUGAGGCCACUGUGUAAAUGCAGAGGCACCAUUCAUAUAGUCUAUGUAGAAUGGGGCCCCUCAGGAGUUGUCUGAUGUGGCAGCCUUGUUCAGAGAGGUCAAGAGGCUUGCCCAGGGUCACUUUGUGAACUUGGGCUGCUGUUCCCGUUAGGUCUGAUGAUAGAAGCAAGAAUGAAAAUAUUUUAAUACGCUAGAGAGAUGGUCUGGAAUCAGUGCAAAGCCAAAAGUGUAAACUCAGUUUAGGUUUUGAAAUGAAUUGACUCAGUCUAGGUUGGGGAAAAACUGCUUUGAGGCAGGUUCUUGCUAAGUUGCUGAGGCUGGCCUUCAACUUGCCAUCCUCCUGCCUCCCAAGUUGCUGGGAUUUUAAGUGUGCACCACUGUGCCUGGCACUCUUUAUUUUUUUAAGAAAGAGAAGGGAGAGAAGAAGCAAGUGAUUUGGGGGGUGGGGGGGAAGGAAUGAAUAAAAAUUAAAGGAGAAUGGAACCAUUGAAAGGUGUUGUGCAUCCAUAGAAAGGGGACGCUACAGAGGACCACAGUAAGGUUCUCCAGAG
rnacentral:lncRNA from 1 species